GAUGAACGCUGGCGGCGUGCUUAACACAUGCAAGUCGAACGAAGCAUUUAGGACAGAUUACUUCGGUUUGAAGUUCUUUAUGACUGAGUGGCGGACGGGUGAGUAACGCGUGGGUAACCUGCCUUGUACUGGGGGAUAGCAGCUGGAAACGGCUGGUAAUACCGCAUAAGCGCACAAUGUUGCAUGACAUGGUGUGAAAAACUCCGGUGGUAUAAGAUGGACCCGCGUCUGAUUAGCUAGUUGGUGAGAUAACAGCCCACCAAGGCGACGAUCAGUAGCCGACCUGAGAGGGUGACCGGCCACAUUGGGACUGAGACACGGCCCAGACUCCUACGGGAGGCAGCAGUGGGGAAUAUUGCACAAUGGAGGAAACUCUGAUGCAGCGACGCCGCGUGAGUGAAGAAGUAAUUCGUUAUGUAAAGCUCUAUCAGCAGGGAAGAUAGUGACGGUACCUGACGAAGAAGCUCCGGCUGAAUACGUG
rnacentral:rRNA from 1 species